AGCAACCACACGCCUCGCUAAGCGAGACCCCAUCCAGGCCAGGGGGAGAAGAGGCUGCUCUGCAGCCUGAGAUACCCGGUGUGCGUCUUAUUCAGCAUUCCUGGUCAGCUAAGUGCCACUGGCAACUACAAGGGCUUGAUCCAGAGGCUCUAUUUAAUUAGAGGCCACAUUAACACUGACAGGUUCUAUCAUAUCUCAGCUGCUAUCUUCCAAACCCCACCUCUGUGCUGGUUCCCAGGGGCUACACCUGGUAACAGCAGCGUGAGCUGGGCUCCGAGCCUGUCUGGGGAAGGAGCAGGGCUGACACCAAAGCAGGUGCUGCAUGGGAGGCAGCGAGUGACAAGAAGUGUCACUGGCUUUCAAAAAAAGCAAUGCAUUUCAAUAUUCCCAUUUACAGAACUGCUCCUAGAAGAGUGAGAUGAAAGGCUUCAUAAACAAACAAAACAAUAUGCAAUUAGCAGCCAUUAUUUUUCCUCUUUUCAUUUAUUCUACUCUAAUUCCCAGAGAAGCCUGUUCUUAUAGAAAAGAAACCAUGCGCAAUUAAAGCGCCGAAAUAAAGUAUCCCAAGUGUCAGCCUUCCAUCUGGUUCUCCAUUUGUCUCAUGAAAGAAAAUAACCCAGAAUGGCAUUUUCUUAAAUAAAACCCAGCUCAAAACCACAAUACAUUUUAUUGUGAGCCUCGCUGCGAGAGCCAGGAGCGAGCAGGUUUCAGGAAAUCGUGCUUCCAGGCAAUCAAAGCAGUGCACGUCUGUAAGAGAGAUACAGACAGUCUCCUCUAGGCUAAUUCCCUUUGAGAAGUGACUAGACAGUAUUUUUGGGAAGUGGGGAGGUGGGAGAGAGGCUGCUCCUGCGGAGAGAGGGCACGACCAUAGAGCUGCAACACAGAGGUUUUUUCCUCCUCCUCUUUCUUUUUGCAGAGGCUUUUGCAGCAGUUUGGGAAACGCAGACGUGCCGGCAGUGCCUGCCCAGCUUUGGGGGCUGGCUCGCAGCAAUCCCCAGAGGGGCUCCGGGUCCCCAGCUCAGCUUUGCUAUCGCCCCAACGCCGAGGUGCAGCUCGCAGGAGACACUUUCCAAAUCGCGGCUCCGUUGAUUAAUUGAAGCCCGGAGCUCUUGGCCGGGGAUGCCGGGGACAGGUGGCUGCGCUUUGCUUUACACUUGGUUUUCAUUAAGGCUCCCAGACACUUCUGAUUGCGAGCCAAUAAACUGGCUUGCUCAGAGUUUAUCCGAGACUCAGCGAAGAGUUUCAUGCUUAAAUACCCUAGAUUCGGCGAAGAGUUUGCAUGCAUAAAUAAAAGGGGGAGGAAAAAGAAGAGUGGGGGGGGACGGAAAAAAAAACAAAAAAAAAGCAAAAACACGGGCAUUUCGGAGCAUUUGGAGCAGGCAGAGGAUGGAGCCCCCGGAGCUGGAGCUGCACCCACCGGGUUUCCUGCAGAAGUGGCCCGUUUGUUCAACAGUCCUGCACAGCUCCACGCAGCGUUUUCGAGCGAGCCUGGCACGGCGUGAGCAGAUCUAAGGCAGCCAUGGAGCGGAUUUAUUUCGCUUUAAUUUUACCUGCCCCUGAAGAGCAUAGGUUCCUGCAGGAACCUGGAGGAGCGUCCAGACUGGUCACGCUUGGCUGGGAAUUUAAGCUAUGCAAAGAUUAAAAACCAAAAAGUACAAA